rnacentral:rRNA from 1 species
GUAAGGAAUAUUGGUCAAUGGGCGGAAGCCUGAACCAGCCAUGCCGCGUGCAGGACGACGGCCCUACGGGUUGUAAACUGCUUUUGCCCGGGAAUAACCCCCCGCUCUUGAGCGGGGCUGAACGUACCGGGAGAAUAAGGAUCGGCUAACUCCGUGCCAGCAGCCGCGGUAAUACGGAGGAUCCGAGCGUUAUCCGGAUUUAUUGGGUUUAAAGGGUGCGUAGGCGGCCUGUUAAGUCAGGGGUGAAAUACGGCAGCUCAACUGUCGCAGUGCCCUUGAUACUGACGGGCUUGAAUACCGGUGAAGGCGGCGGAAUGAGACAAGUAGCGGUGAAAUGCAUAGAUAUGUCUCAGAACCCCGAUUGCGAAGGCAGCUGCCUAACCGGCGAUUGACGCUGAUGCACGAAAGCGUGGGGAUCGAACAGGACUAGAUACCCGAGUAGUCC